UAUGGCCAGAUCACGUUGAAAUACCGGUUCCCGUAUGAUAAGCGAAGUUAAGCAACAUCGAGCCUGGUCUGUACAUAGAUGGGUGACCGCUUGGGAAUAUCAGGA